UACGUAGGUGGCAAGCGUUGUCCGGAAUUAUUGGCGUAAGCGCGCGCAGGCGCUUCUUAAGUCUGAUGUGAAUCUCGGCUCACCGAGCGCAUUGAACUGGAGCUGAGUACAGAGAGAGAGUGAUCACGUGUAGCGUGAAUGCGUAGAUAUCGAGACACUGUGCGAAGCGCUCACUGACACAACUGACGCUGAGCGCGAAGCUAGGA
rnacentral:rRNA from 1 species